rnacentral:rRNA from 1 species
GACGAACGCUGGCGGCGUGCUUAACACAUGCAAGUCGAACGGAAAGGCCCUGCUUGCAGGGUACUCGAGUGGCGAACGGGUGAGUAACACGUGGGUGAUCUGCCCUGCACUUCGGGAUAAGCCUGGGAAACUGGGUCUAAUACCUGAUAGGAGCCAUUUUUAGUGUGAUGGUUGGAAAGUUUUUUUCGGUGUAGGAUGAGCUCGCGGCCUAUCAGCUUGUUGGUGGGGUAAUGGCCUACCAAGGCGGCGACGGGUAGCCGGCCUGAGAGGGUGGACGGCCACAUUGGGACUGAGAUAAGGCACAGACUCCUACGGGAGGCAGCAGUGGGGAAGAUUGCACAAUGGGCGCAAGCCUGAUGCAGCGACGCCGCGUGGGGGAUGACGGCCUUCGGGUUGUAAACUCCUUUCGCUAGGGACGAAGCUUUUUGUGACGGUACCUAGAUAAGAAGCAACGGCUAACUACGUG